AAAUGAAUAGACGGGGACCCGCACAAGCAGCGGAGCAUGUGGUUUAAUUCGAAGCAACGCGAAGAACCUUACCAGGUCUUGACAUCCCGAUGUCAGGUGUAGAGAUACACCGUCUCUUCGGAGCAUUGGAGACAGGUGGUGCAUGGUUGUCGUCAGCUCGUGUCGUGAGAUGUUGGGUUAAGUCCCGCAACGAGCGCAACCCCUAUUUUUAGUUGCCAUUACGUAGAGGUGGGCACUCUAAAGAGACUGCCGUGGAUAACACGGAGGAAGGUGGGGACGACGUCAAAUCAUCAUGCCCCUUAUGGCCUGGGCUACACACGUGCUACAAUGGCCGGAAACAAAGGGCAGCGAAGCCGUAAGGUGGAGCGAAUCUCAUAAACCCGGUCUCAGUUCGGAUUGUGGGCUGCAACUCGCCCACAUGAAGUCGGAGUUGCUAGUAAUCGCGAAUCAGCACGUCGCGGUGAAUGCGUUCCCGGGUCUUGUACACACCGCCCGU
rnacentral:rRNA from 1 species